rnacentral:rRNA from 1 species
UACGUAGGGCGCAAGCGUUGUCCGGAAUUAUUGGGCGUAAAGCGCGCGCAGGCGGUCCUUUAAGUCUGAUGUGAAAGCCCACGGCUCAACCGUGGAGGGUCAUUGGAAACUGGAGGACUUGAGUACAGAAGAGGAAAGCGGAAUUCCACGUGUAGCGGUGAAAUGCGUAGAGAUGUGGAGGAACACCAGUGGCGAAGGCGGCUUUCUGGUCUGUAACUGACGCUGAGGCGCGAAAGCGUGGGGAGCAAACAGG